GGGCUUUUGGCUCAGUUGGUUAGAGCGUCUGAUUUACACUCAGAAGGUCGGGGGUUCGAUUCCCUCAAAGCCCA